rnacentral:lncRNA from 1 species
GCCAUUCCUUUGAGCACCAAUUCCCCAAAACAUCUAAAUGAUAAGUUUUCACAAAUUGAACCUAAAACAAGGCAAAGAAAAUGCUCUCAGGGGCAAGAUUCAAACAUGAUUUACCAAAUCAAAUCAUAGAUUAAGAAGCUACAAGCGCUCUGUUCCAAAAUUAGCAAGUAACAGUACUAACAAGUUUAAAUCCAAGUUAGUAGUUUAAAGAGGACAGCAAAUGCCUUUCCAGAUUUUACAUAGCUUAGCAAUUUAUGAAACAGCAGAUUAAGUAGUUUUCAACUAGCUAUAUGUCUUGAACCAAAUAGAAAUACAAGAGAUAUCAUCCAAAAAAUGAAUGGAGCAAUUGUAUAACUAGCUAGAAAUUCAUUAAAUAGACUUACAAGUAUGUGAUCAAAAUCAUGCUCAUGAUCUCAAAUUUGAACUCCUAAUAAGGACUUCGAUAUCUCCAUAUUCUUCUUCAAUCUUCUUUGCAGAUUCUUCUGCAGAUCUUCCACACCAAUGCACUUCAAUCAUUCCCAAUGUAUAUAUGUUUCCAAAGUCCUCCGGAAUUU